CCUGGAACAAACAAAAACAAAACAAAAAUUAAAAAGCUCUAAAUAAUUAGUGUUUGAUUUUCAGUAUGCACUGUACAUUGUUCUGGGGGGAGACUUUGACUUUUCAGAGGUCAAUAUGCUGAGCAUAAGAAGAUGGUGGUGUGCACUCCUGCUUGAAGACCUGCUUGAAGUGUAAAUAUCAAGUCAAACUAACUUUAUUGAUGGCAUUUAACACUUUGUAACUCCAUUUACUUUUUUAAGGUCCCCUUCUGAACAUAAAAGGAACAGGAAAGAAACUGGCACAUAUAGUAUCAUUGACGAAGUCUGUAAAUCCCACAGUAAGAAGAGAGUACAGAGUGGAAUUCAAGCUCACCAAAUGUGAUGGCUGUGGAUGCACCUUCAAAGACACAAUUGGAUACUGUGGUGAUGGAAACAAGGGGGU